AAUUGCAAUCGACUUUAGCAUGCUGGUUGACGUAUUGUUUUAAAUUGUUACUGUUAAUUCUGAUGUUAAUGCUAUUGUUAAUGGCAAUGAAAUCCAUUCUGGCGUCAUUUUCCCUGUCCCUCAUUCUAGGUAUCUUGGAAAGGUUGAUGCUGCAAUGUCAAUCAUUGAUGUCUCCAUGCUUACUGGCUUUUCACCUGACACUGGAGAUCUUAAGAGGCUUUCUGAGGGAGUCGACAGAUACAUCUCCAAGUUUGACAUCAACGACGCCCUGUCU